GGCAGUAGUAGUUCAGUGGUUAACACAUCAGACUACUGAUCAGAUGGUCGUGAAUUCAAAUCCCAGCACUGCCA